UGUAGCCACGGUAGUACUCUUUCAGAGCAGCACGGUCAGCCCGAAUCCAGUGGAUGUAUUUAAGCCGGAUGUCUUUGGUCAGGAUAUAACGACCAUCCCCAACAGGCUUGCAACCACGUUUCAUCAAUGUUCUAAUGUUGUCAGGAAGGUAGCCUGGAACUACACUAUGCUUGUAAAGCUUUAUCACUUCCUCUUCCGUGUAGAUAGGUGGCUUGCUGAGAUCCUUCUGUUCAAGCCGCAAGUUGCCUUCUAACAAUUCUC
rnacentral:lncRNA from 1 species